ACUACUAGGAGGAUGCUGGGAAACUCCAAUUCUACUGAACAAGACCUUUAUCCUGCUUCUUUUGAUACACUGAGGGCAAUAGACGAGGCCAUCAGAUUAAACAACCUCCGCUUAACAAGUUUACCAGCACAACCUCGUACACC